AUUUUAAUAGCUUAUAUAGAGCAUAAUAUUGAAGAUAUUAAGGAAGUAGUUUUACUUUAAAAUAUU
rnacentral:tRNA from 1 species